rnacentral:rRNA from 6 species
UAAUCCGGGUUGCGGACAGUGUCUGGUGGGUAGUUUGACUGGGGCGGUCUCCUCCUAAAGAGUAACGGAGGAGCACGAAGGUUGGCUAAUCCUGGUCGGACAUCAGGAGGUUAGUGCAAUGGCAUAAGCCAGCUUGACUGCGAGCGUGACGGCGCGAGCAGGUGCGAAAGCAGGUCAUAGUGAUCCGGUGGUUCUGAAUGGAAGGGCCAUCGCUCAACGGAUAAAAGGUACUCCGGGGAUAACAGGCUGAUACCGCCCAAGAGUUCAUAUCGACGGCGGUGUUUGGCACCUCGAUGUCGGCUCAUCACAUCCUGGGGCUGAAGUAGGUCCCAAGGGUAUGGCUGUUCGCCAUUUAAAGUGGUACGCGAGCUGGGUUUAGAACGUCGUGAGACAGUUCGGUCCCUAUCUGCCGUGGGCGCUGGAGAACUGAGGGGGGCUGCUCCUAGUACGAGAGGACCGGAGUGGACGCAUCACUGGUGUUCGGGUUGUCAUGCCAAUGGCACUGCCCGGUAGCUAAAUGCGGAAGAGAUAAGUGCUGAAAGCAUCUAAGCACGAAACUUGCCCCGA